GAUAGAACAGAGUUACCACCAGUAUCCUGUUAUCACCGUCCAGAGCCGUUCCAUCACUAACACUGAGAGGAAAGACACUCUUUUUAUAAAGAGCAUGUUUGUAAACCGGAGAAGAUCUGUGGAAGUCUGAUCGAGAUGGUGAAAGGCUAAGCGCAAGAAGAAAAAGGAGCUGAAUCUGUGAGAAUCAGUGUUUAGUCUGGCAAACAGAAUUCUCACAUGGGACAAGAGAAUCUUCAGAUCUUGAAGGGCUGCUAGCAUGGGAUGAUGAAUGACUAUUCUGCAUAGCUUCAGAGGGAAGAACCAGAAUCAGCAGGCAGAAAUUACAAGGGAAAAAUUGUUCACAUUAGAAAGAAAAUGAUCUAACAAUCAGGAGCAUUCAAAAAUGGAAUGGACUGCCUGGUGUGGAAGUGCUAUCCUUUUUGGAAGAGUUUAAACUGAGGCUGGGUGACUUCCCGUCUGGUUUCCUAGAGAAUUCUUAAAUGAUUGGGAGGCUGAGGCGGAUGGAUCACGAGGUCAGGAGAUCGAGACCAUCCUGGCCAACAUAGUGAAACCCCAUUUCUACUAAAAAUACAAAAGAAUUAGCUGGGCGAGGUGGUGUGUGCCUGUAGUCCCAGCUACUCAGGAGGCUGAGGCAGGAGAAUUGCUUGAACCCAGGAGGCGGAGGUUGCAGUAAGCCGAGAUUGUGCCACUGCACUCCAGCCUGGCAACAGAGUGAGACUCCGUCUAAUAAAAAAAAAACAAAAAAACAAAAAACACAAAACAAGUAGACAACCACUCAGGCUAUUUUUUCACUGUCCAGGUGUUUUGAGGUGUUUUUUCCUUUUCCUUUUCUCAAAAUGAUUCAAGUAAAUACAAUACAGGAAAUGCUGACACUAA